GAGGACAGAGCCGUAGGGUAGGAGCGUUCAGCACGCUGACAGAAGAACAGCACCAUUAUUCUUUUUGGUGGCAGCCAGCUCUUACACAACUCGUAAAACAGCUCUGAGUCUAGCCACACAGCGUUGACAUUCUCUCCAUUUGGCUGUUCCUUGACGCCCAGAUGCCUCUGAGGUAGUUCAACUUCAGCCUCACACUCUGCCAUCACAUUCAUCGGGAAGAAGUCCUGCUGAGAAAGAAACAGGCAAUUAUCAGAGAAUCACAUACACAG